rnacentral:rRNA from 1 species
UACGAAGGUCCCGAGCGUUGUUCGGAAUCAUUGGGCGUAAAGCGCGCGUAGGCGGCCCGGUAAGUCCGCUGUAAAAGUCAAAGGCUCAACCUUUGAAUGUCAGUGGAUACUGCCGGGCUAGAGUCCGGAAGAGGCGAGUGGAACUCCUGGUGUAGCGGUGGAAUGCGCAGAUAUCAGGAAGAACACCGACGGCGAAGGCAGCUCGCUGGGACGGUACUGACGCUGAGGCGCGAAAGCGUGGGGAGCGAACAGG